rnacentral:rRNA from 1 species
UAGGGAAUAUUGGACAAUGGGGGCAACCCUGAUCCAGCCAUGCCGCGUGAGUGAAGAAGGCCCUCGGGUUGUAAAGCUCUUUUGUCCGGAAAGAAAAGCAUUCGGUGAAUACCCGGAUGUUCUGACGGUACCGGAAGAAUAAGCACCGGCUAACUUCGUGCCAGCAGCCGCGGUAAUACGAAGGGUGCAAGCGUUACUCGGAAUUACUGGGCGUAAAGCGUGCGUAGGUGGUUGUUUAAGUCUGAUGUGAAAGCCCUGGGCUCAACCUGGGAAUGGCAUUGGAAACUGGGCAGCUAGAGUGCGGUAGAGGGUAGUGGAAUUCCCGUUGUAGCAGUGAAAUGCGUAGAGAUCGGGAGGAACAUCUGUGGCGAAGGCGACUGCCUGGACCAGCACUGACACUGAGGCACGAAAGCGUGGGGAGCAAACA